UACGUAGGGGGCAAGCGUUGUCCGGAUUUAUUGGGCGUAAAGAGCGUGUAGGCGGCCAGACAGGUCAGCUGUGAAAACUCGAGGCUCAACCUCGAGACGUCGGUUGAAACCGUCUGGCUAGAGUCCGGAAGAGGAGAGUGGAAUUCCCGGUGUAGCGGUGAAAUGCGCAGAUAUCGGGAAGAACACCCGUGGCGAAGGCGGCUCUCUGGGACGGUACUGACGCUGAUGCGCGAAAGCGUGGGGAGCGAUCCGG
rnacentral:rRNA from 1 species